rnacentral:rRNA from 1 species
UUAGAGUUUGAUCCUGGCUCAGGACGAACGCUGGCGGCGCGCCUAACACAUGCAAGUCGAACGAGCGAGAGAGAGCUUGCUUUCUCGAGCGAGUGGCGAACGGGUGAGUAACGCGUGAGGAACCUGCCUCAAAGAGGGGGACAACAGUUGGAAACGACUGCUAAUACCGCAUAAGCCCACGGGUCGGCAUCGACCAGAGGGAAAAGGAGCAAUCCGCUUUGAGAUGGCCUCGCGUCCGAUUAGCUAGUUGGUGAGGUAACGGCCCACCAAGGCGACGAUCGGUAGCCGGACUGAGAGGUUGAACGGCCACAUUGGGACUGAGACACGGCCCAGACUCCUACGGGAGGCAGCAGUGGGGAAUAUUGCACAAUGGGGGAAACCCUGAUGCAGCGACGCCGCGUGGAGGAAGAAGGUCUUCGGAUUGUAAACUCCUGUUGUUGGGGAAGAUAAUGACGGUACCCAACAAGGAAGUGACGGCUAACUACGUGCCAGCAGCCGCGGUAAAACGUAGGUCACAAGCGUUGUCCGGAAUUACUGGGUGUAAAGGGAGCGCAGGCGGGAAGACAAGUUGGAAGUGAAAUCUAUGGGCUCAACCCAUAAACUGCUUUCAAAACUGUUUUUCUUGAGUAGUGCAGAGGUAGGCGGAAUUCCCGGUGUAGCGGUGGAAUGCGUAGAUAUCGGGAGGAACACCAGUGGCGAAGGCGGCCUACUGGGCACCAACUGACGCUGAGGCUCGAAAGUGUGGGUAGCAAACAGGAUUAGAUACCCUGGUAGUCCACACCGUAAACGAUGAUUACUAGGUGUUGGAGGAUUGACCCCUUCAGUGCCGCAGUUAACACAAU